GAUGAACGCUAGCGGCAGGCCUAAUACAUGCAAGUCGAGGGGCAGCACGGGUAGCAAUAUCUGGUGGCGACCGGCGCACGGGUGCGUAACACGUAUACAAUCUGCCUUUUACAGGGGAAUAGCCCGGAGAAAUCCGGAUUAAUGCCCCAUAACAAGCGAAGUAGCAUUACUUUGCUUUGAAAGCUCCGGCGGUAAAAGAUGAGUAUGCGUCCUAUUAGCUAGUUGGUGAGGUAACGGCUCACCAAGGCGACGAUAGGUAGGGGAUCUGAGAGGACUACCCCCCACACUGGUACUGAGACACGGACCAGACUCCUACGGGAGGCAGCAGUAAGGAAUAUUGGUCAAUGGAGGCAACUCUGAACCAGCCAUGCCGCGUGCAGGAAGACGGUCCUAUGGAUUGUAAACUGCUUUUAUACGGGAGAAAACCUAUGUUCGUGAACGUAGUUGAUAGUACCGUAGGAAUAAGGAUCGGCUAACUUCGUGCCAGCAGCCGCCGUAAUAC
rnacentral:rRNA from 1 species